rnacentral:lncRNA from 1 species
GCAGGGACAAAUUUGGUCCAUUUUUAACAUGAACUUUCAACAACACACUGAUAAAUCCGAUCUUUACUACUGUACAGGCUGAAGCAUCAGACGCCAUAUCAUCAAGUACUACUAAAACCAACAAAUCAUAAUCUUUAAGAUCAAUGGUGUCUAAACUAAGAACAUCAAAGGGCAUACAACACGAUCAAAUCAUAGUUUAAACAUCAUAUGUCAAACACAGGCAUGCAUCAGCAUGUACCAACAACACCUAGGGUGCAACACAAACAUCACUUAAAUUCGGUUUCUGCUUCCCAGCAUAGUUUCAGUUUCGCAACGACGCUGACACACAUGCAUCACUUCAGUUCCAUCGCAUCCCUGAAAGCAGCAAGUCAAUCAGAACAUUAGACAUACCAGUCAAACAAUUCACAACUACAAGAGUACUUCAAAUACUUUCGCAAGAAAGAAAAGGAACAGGGGGGAAAUAUGGCAUGGAGUCUGUUUCUUAUACUUCAUGAUCUGAAACAGAUGGACUCGCUCUCCUUUGUCAAAAAGUAUAACAAAAUUUAUAUGUGAUGUACUUGAGCCAGAUUUAACUUGAUGCAAACAGAGAAAAGCAAGCUCUAUCAUUAGGUCACAUAGAUAUCUCACAUCAAGUACUAGCACUGAAAACUCACGACUAAAAAUUUAUACGUACAGACCAUAUAUACACUGCAGAGAAAGGUUGACAGAAACUCUUUGCAUAUACACUGCAGAUCAUAUAUAUGUACAGAUCAAAACUAAAAAUUUAUAUGCACAAAACAUAUAUACAACUAAAAAAUUUGAUUUAGUAUGAUUGUUCACUACCAAAGUGUAUCUAUUUCUCUAACAAAAACACUACAAUUACUUUCUUGCUGAUUGCCCAACAGUAUGGUUCAGUUUCUUCCUGUUAUUUGCCCUUUAUUCAAAUUAGUAUGCAGACAAAGCAUUCAUUCACAAGAAAAACAUGUUUGUUCCAAGCUAAUCAGGAACAUGAGCUUAUGUAUAUUCUCAGUUCGGAGAUGAGAAAUUGAUUUCUAGCUAAUCAGGAAUAGGAGCUUAAGAACAAGACCAAGCAAGCAAGAACAUUAUGAACCAGAUCAAAAUACCUCUUCUAGGUAGGCAACUCAUCCAUUUCGCUCCGAAGCCACAUGACCGCACUCUCUUCUUGAAGUUUGAUGAACAUGUAAGAUAAGAAAGAGCUCGCUAUUACAUUAUAACAAAGAGCAUCAUAAAUGUUUGUUCUAAGCUAAUCAGGAAUAAGAACUUAAGUAUAUUCUUAGUUCAGACAUGUGCAUGCAUAUGCUCAGUUAGCAACCACAUAAAUAUACUACAACUAGUCAUCUCAGAUGAGAAAUUGAUUUCCAGCUCUUGUCUGCAUGUAUUUUACUCAUCUUAGCAAAUCACACCAGUAACAGUUAACUUCGACCAGUUUUGAAUUUCAUCAACAUCUAACACAAGACAUUGCCUGCUAUAUUUUUAGCACACAGUGUCAAAAUUAAUCAGACUGAUGAUAUACCAAUGAAACUUAUGUGCAGCAAAAUGAUUCUCUCCUCACAUUUCUGCACUACAUCCAAUUAUCAAUAUCUAAUACAAAAUGGUUGGCUGUAUUUUGUUACUUUGUUAUCAGAUAUGUACUAUAUGCUAAUAAUAAUGGGAUUUUUUUUACUAUGGAGUAUAAAAUCAGUACCGGAAGGUAGAGAUCCUACUUGAGCAUCUACAUGUAUAAUUUUAAGGCACACAUAAAUGACAUCAAAAAAGGGUUGGAGUUGUCUUGAAUAGUAGUCCAGAUCUAGCAGCAACUAACUUCAAAUAGGGGGAGGACGAAUGUGAUUGGGAAGCAGGCAGAGGAACAACAGGGAGGGCCUCUCACAGCGGUGGUACUGGAAAGGGGAGAGGAGCGUGGCUAUCAGGGACGGUGUGCUUGGCGAGCUCGCAGGGGAGGACGAGGCGAACGGCGGAUCGGCGGCGGCCAUAUUGAGAAACCCUAGAUGAAGAUGGAGGGGGGGGGGGUGCCUCGAGGGAGAAGGCCAACUUUCCCUAGGAAGAAGAGGAAGCAGGCAUCCGACGGAGUUAGCAGCGACGGCGGCGGCUGCGCGCGGUUCUGGCCGUCUCUUGUGACCGCGGCCGCGUCUCGUCUCUCUUUCGCACGAGGCGUGUGAGCCGCGAGGUACCCCUCGAUGCUAGGAAGCCCCAUGGAUCGGGGAGGAACGGAUGGGAUAUUCGGGGCUGACCCGGUUGGAGCCCAGUGCGCCAAACGGUACUCUUGGGCUUUUAGGGUCUUUUAAGCCCGACGGGGAAAAUCCACUAAAAACCCCUUUGAUCCCGGUGUCCCAAACAAGGCCUCAGCACGAAUGGGUUUUCAAGUCUGAAAGUGCAACUAUCCCUGGGUGGUUUUGGUAAUUCGUAACAACAUAUAGCUCAUUGAGCUAAUGCUAUUUUAAAAUAAAUAUUUCAGGGAAGCUCAAUGAUUGGCAUGGCAUGGAUUAGAAAAUAAACCCCUCAAAAUGCUAAGGACAAAAGAUUGGUUCAAGCUCAAAGCACAAGACUCUACAUUUUAUUUUUAGUGAUCCAAGAUCACAUUAAGUCCAUAGGAAAAGACAACACUAUUAGAAGGGGGUGAGGUGUUGCUUAAUGAGUUACUUACUCGAAAUGCUUAGUGAUAUGCUUCAAAAAUCCUCAAUUACUUUCUCAUAUCCACAUAUGUCCCAAACCAAAAAUCAAACUCGGCCCCACCAAAAUCUUUUAUCCGGCGCCACCGAGCUCACUUGACAUAGCCACUGCCACAAACCCUAGUCACUUCGGUCUCACCGAUAGGGAUUUCGGUCUCACCGAGAUGGGAUUGCAACCUCUCUGUUUCUCUUUGUAACGUUUCGGUCCAACCAAGAUGAGCGAUCGGUCCCACCGAGAUUGCAAUGCAAACUCUCUGUUUCCCCUUCGUAACGUUUUGGUCUAACCGAGACGAGCGAAUCAGUCCCACCGAGUUUGCCUGACCAACUCUCUGUUUGUCUAUUACCAAAAUCGGUCCCACCGAGUUUGUGUAAUCGGUCUCACCAAGAUUACGUUAUGCCCUAACCCUAAUAGAAUCAGUCCCACCGAGUUGACAUGUCGGUCCCACCAAAAACCUUAACGCUCACAUUUUGAACUAAAUCGGUCUGACCGAGUUUUAUAAUUCAGUCCAACCGAGUUUGGUGAUUUGUGUGUAACGGUUAGAUUUUGUGUGGACGCUAUAUAUACCCCUCCACCCACUCUUCAUUCGUGGAGAGAGCCAUCAGAACAUGCCUACACUUCUAACAUACAUUUUCUGAGAGAGAACCAUCUACACUUGUGUUGAGGUCAAGAUAUUCCAUUCCAACCACAUAAAUCUUGAUCUCUAACCUUCCCCAAGUUGCUUUCCACUCAAAUCAUCUUUCUACCAAAUCCAAUCAUAUGAAAGAGAGUUGAGUGUUGGGGAGACUACCAUUUGAAGCACAAUAGUAAGGAGUCCAUCAUCAACACACCAUCUAUUACAUUUUGGAGAGUGGUGUCUCCUAGAUUGGUUAGGUGUCACUUGGGAGCCUCCGUCAAGAUUGUGGAGUUGAACCAAGGAGUUUGUACAGGCAAGGAGAUCGCCUACUUCGUGAAGAUCUACCCUAGUGAGGCAAGUCCUUUGUGGGCGAUGGCCAUGAUGGGAUAGACAAGGUUGCUUUUUCGUGGACCCUUCGUGGGUGGAGCCCUCCGUGGACUCACGCAACUGUUACCCUUCAUGGGUUGAAGUCUCCAUCAACGUGGAUGUACGAUAGCAUCACCUAUCGGAACCACACCAAAAAUCUCCGCGUCUACAUUGCGUUUACUUUCUCCAAACUCCUCCCUUUACCUUUAUAUGCAAUUGUUUUACAUUCCGCUGCUAUACUCUUAGAAUUGCAUGUGUAGAUUGAUUACUUGAAUUGUGCUAAGUUGCUAAAAUCUGCCAAGACUUAAAACUGGAAAAAUUCUAGAUUUUUAUUUGGUCAAGUAGUCUAAUCACCUCUCUCUAGACAUACUUUCGAUCCUACAAAGCCCCAAAGGGGCUGGGGAUUAUUGGGGAUUUGGUGAACCCCUCCCCCGCACCAAAUCCCCUCAAAUCCCCUUCCGCCUCCCAAGCCCCUUCCACAUCUAUCCAUAUAUGAGUGUUUCGCAUGCAGGGACAAAUUUGGUCCAUUUUUAACAUGAACUUCAACAACACACCGAUAAAAAUCCGAUCUUUACUACUGAACAUGCUGAAGCAUCAGUGGCCAUAUCAUCAAGUACUACUAAAACCAACAAAUCAUAAUCUUUAAGAUCAAUGGCAUCUAAACUAAGAACAUCAAAGGCCAUAUAACACGAUCAGAUCAUAGUUUAAACAUCAUAUGUCAAACACAGGCAUGCAUCAGCAUGUACCAACAACACCUAG